UUCCCUGUGAAAUACCUUAUGUUCUGGUGA
rnacentral:piRNA from 1 species